CCAGAUCAAGGGUACACACUUCAGUUUGAUUUAACACCAAUGAUGUUAACCAGGUCACCUUGCUAAAAUAAUGUUUGCAGUUUUCUUCACUGUAAAGUGUUUGUUUUUAUUUUUGUUUUCAAUGCUCUAUUCUUCUGAAACAAAGCACUAAGCUCAGCUCACUUUUAAAGUUCCACCUCUAAUAUGAUUUGGCUCUAUGUCCCCAACCAAUCUCAGCUAGAAUUGUAAUCCUCACAAUCCCCACAUGUGGAGGGCAGGACCUGGUGGGAGGUGAUUGGAUCAUGGGGGCAGUUUCCUUCAUGCUGUUCUCAUGAUAGUGAGUUCUUUCAGGAGAUCUGAUAGUUUUAUAAGAGGCUCUUCCGUCUUCACUGGUUCACUCUCUCUUGCCUGCCGCUAGAUUACCCAGUCUUGGGUCUGUCUUUAUAGCAGUGUGAGAGUGGACUAAGACAACCUCCUUGAGGAAUGGCAGAGAAAAUUCUACAGCUGGAGGCAGAAGAGAUUCUGUAGAAGGGGAAGUCAGAGAGAUUCAAAGCAUAAAAAAGACACUACCUGCUGUAUGGCUUUGAAGAUGGUGGAACAAGGCCACUCGCCAAGGUACAAGGAGCCUCUAGAAAGCUGAACAGGAUGUCAGCUGACAAUCAACAAGAAAACAAGGACCUCACCCUUAAGACCACCACGUGGAUCUGAAUUCUGUGAACAACUUGCAUGAAUUUGGGAGCAAAUUCAUUUCCAGAACCUCCAGCAAAGGAAUCCAGCCCUGGUGACACCUUGAUAUUGGCCUUGAGAGACUCUAAGCAGAGAACCAGCUGAGCCACUCUGCACCUAAACUUCUAACUCAGAACAUUGUAAACCAAUACAUUUGUGUUGUUUUAAGCCACUAAAUAUAUGUGAUUUAUUCUGAGUAAUAGAACUUUAAUAUGCUGAGAUGCCAUUAACACACUACACACAGACACACACACACACACACACACACACACACACACACUACAAUAAAGGGUGGGGGGAGGAGAGGAUUCAAAGAACAGAGUAGUCAAUCUUGCCCAGAAUUUUCAAAGAAAAUUCCUUAUAGGCAAUGCGAUAUGGUCUACAUAAGGCUUAAAUAAGUGUAGAGAGGUAGAGAAGAAAGAAAUAUUUAUCAGUGAGGAAAAUGGCCUGAGUAAGAUACAGGUAAUUCAAGAGACUAUGAAUCCGAUCAGGGAUUUUUGUUUGUUUGUUUUUGUUAUUUCUUGGAGAAAAAGAUGAUAGAACUGAUGUUGAAGGAUAAAGUUGGGAGGGAAAAAAUUAGACAGAAUGUGGAGGGCUAUAACAAGAGCCAGCUAAUAUAUUUUAGAAAAAAUAUCAUGUCACAAUAUACAGCACACACAAGAAAUAGGAGACCUAUGAGUAUGUGUCUAGAAAAGACAAUACUACCAACAUUUUCAUGAAGAUAUUUCUGCUUACAUAACUGGUGCAUCAGUUUGCUCUGUCACUGAAAUUUUCUUCCAACCUGUGGAAAUCUCCGCCAUGGACAACAAGCUUCUUAACUUUUCUAUGCAUAGAAUUACUGCUGAUGCCUGUCGGCAUCAAUGUUUAAUAUUUGCCUAGACUUAUGGCCAUGUCUAAACCAUAGUACAUAUGAGCCAAAAGUAGAUCAAGUAAUAAAAUUCAACAUGACUGUGUAACCCUGAUAAAGAUCAAGAGAGAAAAGCUAUGUUUUCACUCAUUUGCAUGUUGACAUUGUUAACACGUGGACAUCAUCUUUUCCCAUAACAAAUGCAUGCACAUAACAUAGUAAGUCUCCAUCUCUCAAAGUUGUUUCAUGUGAUUCUCUAUUAGGCAGCAGCUGGUUUUUAUUCAAGCAUAUUUGAUUAAUCUUUAAAAAUCACCAGAUUCCCCCAUUCUACUUUCAUCCACAAACAGUUUUUAAUUUCCCAAUAAAGUAUAUCAGUAUGACUAGAACACUCACAUAUUAUCUAUGUGCAUUCAGUUUUACUUGCCAGUUGUAGAAUGCUGGUGCUGGAUAAGCAUUUGUAAACUGAGAAAUACAAUUGCAAAAACAAACACAUACAAAGCCUUUUAGCAAACUGGUGGAUGCCUGUGGAGCUGCCAUCCUCAGAUGAUGCAUCCAGCUCAUUCAUGCCUCCAACUGGAACAGCAUUAAACAAAAAUGCGCCGGAUUCAGGUCCAAAUAGCGGUACAUGCUAGCAACAAAUCCUGUGUACCUUCUUCUUCCCUCCCUCAAAUGGCAACAUUUCAAGCUAAAAUAGCUUUUUUAAAAAAAGACAACAAAUUUUUCAUUACACCGUAUCACCAACAACUGACUUGCUGUAAUGUCAAAUAUAUUCAAAUUGGCAGGAUCAGUUACACGUGGGUAAGGAUGCAUCCUUAAAUUUUAAAGCAGACAUUUAGUAAUUUUAAUUUAUCAUUUUAAUUUUACCUGGGUGACUCAAAUACCUUAAAUAUGGAUUAUUAAAACUUUCUUUUUGAAAAUUAAAACAUUUUUUAGAAGGACAUUUUCUACUAUUACAUUAAGUUUUAAGUAUGUCAAAGGGAAGGGCACAAUGUCACCCUUCUCUUUGCAUAGCAAGAGUGACCUUUACUCCAGUUCCCACCAAGUUCCUCAUCUCCAUCUGAGACCACCUCAGCCUGGACUUUAUUGUCCAUAUCACUAUCCGCAUUUUGGUCAGAGCCAUUCAACAAGUCUCUAGGAAUUUUCAAACUUUUCCACAUUUUCCUGUUUUCUGAGCCCUCCAAACUGUUCCAGUUUCUGCCUGUUACCCAGUUGCAAAGUCUCCUCCACAUUUUUUAGUAUCUUUACAGCAAUGCCCCAUUAGCCAGUACCAAUUUACUACAUUAGUCUGUUCUCUGCCAGUAAUAAAUACAUACCCGAGACAGGGUGAUUUAUAAUGGGAGGAGGUUUAAUGGAUUCACAGUUCCACAUGGCUGGGGAGGCCUCACAAUCAUGGCAGAAGGCCAAGAGGAAGAAAGACACAUCUUACAUGGUGGCAGUCAAGAAAGCUUGUGUAGGGGAACUCCCGUUUAUAAAACCAUCAGAUCUCAUGAGGCUUAUUCACUACCAUGAGAACAGUAUAGGGGAAACUGCCCCAUGACUCAGUUACCUCCACCUGGUCCUGCCCUUGACACGUAGGGAUUAUUACAAUUCAAGGUGAGAUUUGGGUGGGGACACGGCCAAAUAAUAUCAGGCCUCAAACAAUUUAGGAAGUUUAUUUUGCCAAGGUUAAGGAUGCAAGCCCAGGAGACAGGUCUAUGCCUUUCUCCCAAGAUGAUUUUGAGGACUUCAAUAUUUAACCAGGAAAGAGCAGAUAUUUAGGAAAGAGGAAGAAAUGUUUAAAAUGUGUGGAUAGAUAAGAGAUAAACAGUUGCCUUCUUCUGAGUCUUCGAUCAGCCUUUCAAAGAAUAUACAAUUUACAUGUCAGAGAGGAGUAGAGGAAUCUUCACUUAUGACUUCUACCUUAGUGAAUCUGCAUUUUUACAUCAGAGGAAGCAAUCAGUUAUGUAUUUGUCUCAGGUGAGCAGAGGGAUGACUUAGAGUUCUCUUCUUUGUCCCACACCUGUGAAGAUAAGCUAUCAGUUUACAUUGUCAGGGUAAAAUUCAACAGAACUCUUUCAGGGUAAAGAUCUUGGGACCCACAAGGAAUCUUCUAGGGGGAAAUAUGUAGCUCUUUUAUCUUUGUAGAUAUCUUAUUUAGGAAUAAAAUGUGAGCCAGGUUUGCCUCAUGCAGUGUCCAGCUUGACUUGUCCCUUUGGGUUAGUGAUUUGAGGGUCAUGAGAUUUAUUUUCUUUUCACAAAUAAAAAGAAAAAUCUGUCAGAUUGCCAUUGCAAUCUGAAGAUGCUUAGAAGAUUCUGGAAGAGCUAGUCUAUCAACUACUGCAGACAUUAACCUUUGGUUUUCUUUUGUUUCCAUAGAAAUGUCUUUUAUGAAAGAUCUGUUUGCCUGUACCAUAUAUAGAGACUUAGGCCAUUUAUUUGCAGUGCCACCUCCUGGAAUGGGACACUGUCGUUUAACUGAACUGAUCUAUUCUCAGGACCAAGAGACUGACUAGAAGAUAUGGCAUGAUAUAUUUAAAUUUGCUCUUUUCUGCUUAUCCCAAUUUGUCUUUCAACUCCUUUGUCUAUUUGUAUCAGACAACCUCUAACCUAUAGCUCUUCAAAUCUAUCAGUGUGGCUUUUAGUAUGUAAAACUUUUUUAAGUUUCAAAGAGCGGACUGAAGGAAAUCAAAAUAUUUUACCCCGAAAUGUAUUUCUUUGACAUAUUUUGUGAUGGCUGCCAGAGGGCCAGCAAAUAGAAGGGGCCCUGUAAAACUGUCUUUUGCAUCUGUAGAGAAUCUCCUAUCAUACAGCAAGGCCUUCCCUUGUCUGGAUCUAGGAAAGAUGAACUGAGAAUCUUACAGAUUUAAAGAUUUGGGAAAAAAAACAGACAAAAACACUUACCAUAUAUUAUUUCUGAGGGCUGUGACCUAUGAGGUUUUAUCUACAUAACAAGAUUACUUUUACUAGUCAAGUCUCCUCUUCUCUCUCUCCCAUAACCUGUCUUGCCAUGUGAUUUAUCACCCUAACCGGUUUUAGGUCAUGUUCCAAGUUCCCAGUCUUUCUCUAAAUUGAAGAUAGCAUGUAAGUUUCUGCACCUUAUUGGGGUAUUGGGUUCUUCAUUCUGAAGGCUCCUGUGUCAUGAAAAACUAUCAUCAAAUACAUGUGUAUGCUUUUUUUCCUAUUAAUCUGCUUUUGUGAGUUGAUUUUUCAUUGGACCUUCUGAAGCAAAGGGGAAGCUUUUCCUCUGCCCCUAUAGAGAGAAGAGAAAAAAAAAACCUAGAGGGUUUCAUUACAAAAUACCAACUUCCCUCGCCUCAUUAAGCACUGAGAUAAGAGAAUUUCAGGUUUGAUUUUCUAAUCAUUCUCUUCUGAUUGCACUUGGAAAUAUCCCCUGCUGUUGCCUGAAAAAUUCCUAGCAAUGUUCUAAACACAGAGGACCAAAAAAACCUUUGUCUGUUUGUAUUUGUCUAUAACUAAAGUAAAAACAAGUUUUCCUUUAGUUUGGCUUAUAUUGUCAACAAGAAUUAAUUAGUAUUCUAGUUAUUACAGGGAAAGUUUAGCUUCCCAAUCUAAGAAGAAUGUGCUGCUAUUCAAAGCUAUUAUGGCUCCCCAUGCAGAAAACUUACAUUACAGUAUAAACAUAUGGCUGGUCAUUGUCUGGUAGUCCCUCCAGUUACCCUGUUUAACAUUCUUUUGUGAGCAUUUCUAAAUAUUGGCUUUAUGCUUAAAAUGUGCUUAAAGAGAAAACACUUUUUCCUUUCUAAUACUUGUGAAGUCAGUCAACUAGGAUUUACAAACCAAAUUAAUAUAUCCCUGGAGGUCCUCACCAAUAAGAAAUAAAAACAUUAAGAAACAAACUUACGAAGCAGAAACCUAAAGCAAUUGUCAUGUAACCAAAAGCUGAGGGCUUUUUGGAAAAUUGGGGGAUAUCUUUUAGACUCAGCAUCAUCAAAUCCUUCACAACUUUAGAAAGUGUUAGCACAAUUGAAAUUAUAGAUGAUCCUUGGAUGAAAUGUACUGAAUUAUAAUCUAUGAAAUUAAAACUUGAUAAUUAAGUCUAUCUCUAAAGUCUCUUUGUUAUAAUGUAUUCAAAAUAUUUUUUCAUUC
rnacentral:lncRNA from 10 species